GAAAAAAAAAUGCCCUACUUCCAUAUGCAAGUCGAGCGGAUGAAGGGAGCUUGCUCCUGGAUUCACGCGGCGGACGGGUGAGUAAUGCCUAGGAAUCUGCCUGGUAGUGGGGGAUAACGUCCGGAAACGGGCGCUAAUACCGCAUACGUCCUGAGGGAGAAAGUGGGGGAUCUUCGGACCUCACGCUAUCAGAUGAGCCUAGGUCGGAUUAGCUAGUUGGUGGGGUAAAGGCCUACCAAGGCGACGAUCCGUAACUGGUCUGAGAGGAUGAUCAGUCACACUGGAACUGAGACACGGUCCAGACUCCUACGGGAGGCAGCAGUGGGGAAUAUUGGACAAUGGGCGAAAGCCUGAUCCAGCCAUGCCGCGUGUGUGAAGAAGGUCUUCGGAUUGUAAAGCACUUUAAGUUGGGAGGAAGGGCAGUAAGUUAAUACCCUUGCUGUUUUGACGUUACCAACAGAAUAAGCACCGGCUAACUUCGUGCCCGCAGCCCGCGGUAAUACCAAGGGUGCAAGCGUUAAUCCGAAUUACUGGGCGUAAAGCGCGCGUAGGUGGUUCAGCAAGUUGGAUGUGAAAUCCCCGGGCUCAACCUGGGAACUGCAUCCAAAACUACUGAGCUAGAGUACGGUAGAGGGUGGUGGAAUUUCCUGUGUAGCGGUGAAAUGCCGUAGAUAUAGGAAGGAACACCAGUGGCCAAAGAAACCACCUGGACUGAUACUGACCCUGAGGUGCAAAGCGUGGGGAGCAAACAGGAUUAGAUACCUCUGGUAGUUCACGCCGUAAACGAUGUCCACUAGCCGUUGGGAUCCCUGAGAUCUUAGUGGCCCCAGCUCACGCGAUAAGUCGACCGCCUGGGGAGUACCGCCCGCCAGGUUAAAACUCCAAUGAAUUGACCGGGGGCCCGCCACAAGCCGUGGAGCCUGUGGUUUAACUUCCAAGCAACGCGAAAA
rnacentral:rRNA from 1 species